UUUCUCUCUCUCUCUCUCUCUCUCCCUUGCGCAGCUGCUUCUCCUUCAGCCCAUUCUCUGCCUCUUCUUCAAUCCAUUGUCACAGCAGCCCGAUACCAGUCCACACAAGGCCAAGCCUCUCUCUUUGCCAUCACUGUUGCUUCGAUGAUCGAAACCCAUGCUUCUAUAUUUGGACCGGUCCACCUGGUUGUUGGCUCCAAACUUGAAAAUGCUUCAGGACCAGAGGAUCUCCAUUGUUCCAAACUGAAGAAGCAAAUAUGGGGACAGUUUCAAAUGAACCUUGUUUAUAUAGAUAUACUUUCUCCUAGGUGAAAGGCUUUAUUUUCGUUUCUCUUAUAUAUAUAUAUAUAUAUAUAUGAAAAUAAACUCUCCACAGCAAGUGUCAGACUCACUUACCCGGAUUCACAUCCAGUGCAAUUGCUAGGGUAUUGCACGGGGUGCAAUACCUCAAUUCUCAGCCAUAGGUUUAAUCUAAUGGCUUAAGCUUUUGACACCUCACCAAUCCACUCUGGCAAUCCGUGUGCUCACUUUUCUUUUCAUAUUAGCUUCCCAAAUUUCAAUUUCAGUAAAACACUCUCUCCUCUCUCUUUCUCUCCCACUUCAACCGGUGUCUCUCUCGCCUCCACCACUCUCUCAACACCUCCACGCUUCCCUCAACCUCGUCGUCACCGCUGCCAGCAUACUCAACUCAGACCCAUCAGCAAAUUCGAAGAAUGAACUCACUAUUUGAAGCCAAAUCCCCACGCCUUGUAGAGCGCUUUUUAGACCCAGAUCAGAGAGCAAGGUUGGGGGUUGGAGAGAAUCGGGUGUAGAGAAGUUGAUGAAGCUCUCUCUUCACGGCACAGCCACUAGUCCGGAUCUCCAUUUCAGACAAUACUAGCCUUUUUCUCAUCGGAAAUCCCUCAAAUCACCGCUUCCUACAUCGGAAAUCCCUAAGCUUCUCUCUCUCCUCAUCAUCUCUCUUCUCUCUUGUUCCUUUAUACUAUCUCCUCACCUCUUCUUCAACUCUGUUUCCACUUUCUCUCUACUCUAUUCAUUUGGAGACCCCUUUGCUGAUAUGGGUGCAAAUACUCCCGUGUUCUUCAGUCUUUAAGGGAACAAUAUGCUGUGAUAGGAGCAAUAUUCGUUUUGAUAUUUGUGUUAUGAAAGGGGAUGUUAGAACACACUCUGCUUCCUCUUCAAUCUUCCUUUACACCUCAAGAGACGAAUAAUUAUGGUGAUGAAGGGGGAGAUGAGGUAAUCCAGCAUGAAAAGAUCAGACCAUAUACAUGAAAAUGGGAAAAGGGUACUAUGGACACCAUUGAUGAAUUAGACCUUAUUGCAAAGAAAGAGCAUUCUGGUGUAAAUCAUCGUUAUGAUGUUCGGCAUGAUGUUCCGGCUGUGUUCCUAUGCAUGUGAUGUGUGGCUUAGUUAUAAACUUAUAAUUAUAUAUUGUAAUGUACAGUCAAGAAGCAAGAGGCACACCAAGUAGAACUUAAUGAGUAGGUCAUGCUAUCUGAGGUUGUCGAAGAAUUUGAUCUUGAAGCAUACAAUUUGUGGGAAUUAUGUAUUAUGAAUUUAUGAUGAUGGGAAGAGUUGUUUCUUGUUAACAAAGUGUAUAUUUCAACAAAACUAUUGUUAUAUGGCCUUGUGGUCAAAGUGUACAUUCUAAUAAAACUAUGUUCAUUUUUAGAUCAAA